rnacentral:rRNA from 1 species
AUUGAACGCUGGCGGCAGGCCUAACACAUGCAAGUCGAGCGGAGCGGCGGACGGGCGAGUAAUGCCUGGGUAUCUGCCUGGCAGUGGGGGAUAACGUCCGGAAAGGGGCGCUAAUACAGCAUACUAUUAGAUGAGCAUAGGUGGGAUUAGCUAGUGGGUGGGGUAAAGGCUUACCAAGGCGACGACCCGUAACUGGUCUGAGAGGAGGAUCAGUCACACUGGAACUUGGACACGGUCCGGACUCCUACGGGAGGCAGCAGUGGGGAAUAUUGCACAAUGGGCGAAAGCCUGAUCCAGCCAUGCCGCGUGUGUGAAGAAGGUCUUCGGAUUGUAAAGCACUUUAAGUUGGGAGGCGUUACCAACAGAAUAAGCACCGGCUAACUACGUGCCAGCAGCCGCGGUAAUUC